UGCCAGCAUCCGCAGUACUCCUGAUUGUGCAAGCGUUAUCCGGAAUUAUUGGGUUUAAAGGGUGCGUAGGCGGAAAUUUAAGUCAGUGGUGAAAGCCUGCAGCUUAACUGUAGAAUUGCCAUUGAUACUGAAUUUCUUGAAUCUAAUUGAAGUAGGCGGAAUAUGACAUGUAGCGGUGAAAUGCUUAGAUAUGUCAUAGAACACCGAUAGCGAAGGCAGCUUACUAAGUUAGUAUUGACGCUAAUGCACGAAAGCGUGGGGAGCGAACAGGAUUAGAA
rnacentral:rRNA from 1 species